rnacentral:rRNA from 1 species
CGAAUGGGUGCGUAACACGUAGGUGACCUGCCCAGAAGUGUGGAAUAACAGUCCGAAAGGACUGCUAAUACCGCAUGUGGCGCGCGGGGUUAGAGGCCCGCACGCGAAAGGUCCGUAAGGAUCGCUUCUGGAGGGGCCUGCGGCCCAUCAGUUAGUUGGUAGGGUAAUGGCCUACCGAGACUACGACGGGUAGGGGACCUCAGGGGGUGGCCCCCCACACUGGCACUGACACACGGGCCAG